GAUUACUUUGAGGAUGGUAAGGUGAUAUUUGUGAAUGGCCUAUUCAUGCAAACUGUUUGGAGUGUACGGAAGAGCUCAUUUUCAAACUCUCGACCCUGGUCAUGAUGCUUCACCAUGCUGAGAUACUCUCUCUUUGAUCUCUUGUCCCUGGGACACCAUGGCCGUCCAGAUAUCAGCGUCAUACAAACUUUGCGUUCCAUGCAGCUCCUCCGCCGGCCUAGUUAUAAUCAUAGAGGCUCUCGUCUGAGUCGUUCUACUGCCGGUGCUGGAGUCACUGCACUUUGGUCGAACCGCAGGUGCUCACUGCCUCAUACUUCUGGUUGCCGUGGAAUCGGCCAUGGUAACCUACGCUAUCCUGAGGUUCUCUCUCAAAAACCCGCGGCGAAUGUGUGCUGUAGCACUAUGCGACUUGCUCACUUCAACACGAGGUCAAUAAACAAUAAAACGGCACUUAUCACUGACACUAUCCUUGACAGGAAAAUUGACAUUCUCUGUCUCAGUGAAACUUGGCAUAAAGACAAUGACUAUCUUAAUUUGAACAUGUGUGCCCCAUCUGGAUAUAAAUAUAUUGACGUGCCUCGAGCUUCUGGUAAGGGUGGUGGCUUGGCUGCAAUAUUUGCAUCAAAUAUAUCACUUGAUGUUAUUGAUGCUCCUACUGUUUCAUCAUUUGAAUGUUUGGUUUUUAAAGUCAAUGGUGCUUCACCUGUUCUUGUGCUGCUCAUUUAUCGUCCACCAAAACCUAAUCCUUUAUUUUUUUCUGAGUUUACUGAGUUGCUGACACUUCUUAGUCCACUCUGUCCGUCUAUGGUCUUGACUGGUGAUGUCAAUUUCCAUAUUGAUAAUCCAAACUGUGUCAAAACUGCUACCUUUUUGGACAUUUUGGAUGGUUUUGACUUUAAACAGCAUGUUACUUUUCCGACACAUAGGCUGGGCCAUAUAUUGGAUGUGGUAUGUUCUGCUGGUGUUGGUAUCCAAUCUCUGGAUAGUAUCGACAUGAGUAUAAGUGACCAUAGACUUAUUACUUUUGACAUAAAUGUUAUGUCUUCACGAUCCAUUUCUGAGCGCACUAUCAAAUUUCGUAACAUCAAGCACAUGGACUUCACUCUUUUUUCGACUUUUGUCUCUGGGCUUCCCACUACUAACUCCGUGGAGCACUAUAAUUCCAUGCUUUCCUCACUUUUGGAUGAGUUCGCACCUGUGCGAGAACGGCUUGUUACUUUUAGGAAACCCUGUCCAUGGUUUACCCCGGAUUUACGUUUAAUGAAAGCCGCCGGAAGACAAUUAGAACGGCAGUACAAAAAAUCUGGCCUGACAGUGCACAGGCUUCUUUACACUGAACAACAGUCUGCUUACCAUUCUGCUUUGAAUACUGCACGUAAGAGCUACUAUUCAAGCAUCAUUGGUAACGCUGCAACAAAUUCUAAAUCGCUGUUUAAGACUGUUGACAAUCUUCUCAAACCAACUAAGGCCGUUGUUCAUUCCUCUGUUGACCAGUGUAAUAAGUUUCUUCAUUAUUUCACCGGUAAGGUUGAGGGUAUAUAUAGCACUUUAAAUACCAUCGCUCCUCUUGAGCUAGUUAAUAUCCAGCCUUCAAACUUCCCAACUACUACCUUUUCAAACUUUGAAAUGGUCGGAGAUGAUUUUAUUAUAAGUACAGUGAAGUCCAUGAACUCUACAACCAGUAUUUUAGAUCCGGUUCCCUGCUCGGUCAUUAUGAACUGCCUAGGCCGAUUUCUAACCUCCCAUUCUUGGCUAAAGUUCUUGAGCGUGUUGUGGCUGUUCAGUUAAAUAAUCACCUAGCUCUGAACAGUCUCUUUGAACCUUUUCAAUCUGGGUUCAGAAGAGGGCAUAGUACUGAAACCGCUUUAAUUAGGGUCGUAAAUGAUCUUCUUAUCGCGGCGGAUUCCGGUGCAUGCAGUAUUUUGGUCUUGUUAGACCUCAGUGCUGCUUUUGACACUAUAUGUCACUCUCUUCUGCUUGACAGGCUGGAAAAUUGGUUGGGUCUUUCUGGAGCUGUCCUCAAUUGGUUUCGGUCUUAUUUAACGAAUCGUGCCCAGUUCGUUGGUUUGG
ensembl:lncRNA